rnacentral:rRNA from 1 species
AUUGAACGCUGGCGGCAGGCCUAACACAUGCAAGUCGAGCGGAUGACGGGAGCUUGCUCCUUGAUUCAGCGGCCGACGGGUGAGUAAUGCCUAGGAAUCUGCCUGGUAGUGGGGGACAACGUUUCGAAAGGAACGCUAAUACCGCAUACGUCCUACGGGAGAAAGCAGGGGACCUUCGGGCCUUGCGCUAUCAGAUGAGCCUAGGUCGGAUUAGCUAGUUGGUGGGGUAAUGGCUCACCAAGGCGACGAUCCGUAACUGGUCUGAGAGGAUGAUCAGUCACACUGGAACUGAGACACGGUCCAGACUCCUACGGUAGGCAGCAGUGGGGAAUAUUGGACAAUGGGCGAAAGCCUGAUCCAGCCAUGCCGCGUGUGUGAAGAAGGUCUUCGGAUUGUAAAGCACUUUAAGUUGGGAGGAAGGGCAGUAAGUUAAUACCUUGCUGUUUUGACGUUACCGACAGAAUAAGCACCGGCUAACUCUGUGCCAGCAGCCGCCGUAAGAC